UGCACUCACUACUGUAAGUCGCUCUGGAUAAGAGCAUCUGCUAAAUGACUUAAA
rfam:Salmo salar isolate Sally breed double haploid chromosome ssa02, whole genome shotgun sequence.